rnacentral:rRNA from 1 species
AGGACGAACGCUGGCGGCGUGCCUAACACAUGCAAGUCGAGCGAGGAGAUCCUUCGGGAUGAUCCUAGCGGCGGACGGGUGAGUAACACGUGGGCAACCUGCCUCAUAGAGAGGAAUAGCCUUCCGAAAGGGAGAUUAAUACCUCAUAACAUUGCAGUUUCGCAUGGAACAGCAAUUAAAGGAGCAAUCCACUAUGAGAUGGGCCCCGCGGCGCAUUAGCUAGUUGGUGAGGUGACGGCUCACCAAGGCGACGAUGCGUAGCCGACCUGAGAGGGUGAUCGGCCACAUUGGGACUGAGACACGGCCCAGACUCCUACGGGAGGCAGCAGUGGGGAAUAUUGCACAAUGGGGGAAACCCUGAUGCAGCAACGCCGCGUGAGUGAUGACGGCCUUCGGGUUGUAAAGCUCUGUCUUCAGGGACGAUAAUGACGGUACCUGAGGAGGAAGCCACGGCUAACUACGUGCCAGCCGCCGC